UAAGGAGGGCGCAAGCGUUGUUCGGAAUUACUGGGCGUAAAGCGCGUGUAGGCGGCCAGGUAAGUCGGAUGUGAAAGCCCGGGGCCCAACCCCGGAACUGCACGCGAUACUGCCUGGCUGGAGUCACGGAGAGGAUGGCGGAAUUUCCGGUGUAGAGGUGAAAUUCGUAGAUAUCGGAAGGAACACCAGUGGCGAAGGCGGCCAUCUGGACGGUGACUGACGCUGAGACGCGAAAGCGUGGGGAGCAAACAGG
rnacentral:rRNA from 1 species